GACGAACGCUGGCGGCGUGCUUAACACAUGCAAGUCGAACGGAAAGGCCCUGCUUUUGUGAGGUGCUCGAGUGGCGAACGGGUGAGUAACACGUGAGUAACCUGCCCUUGACUUUGGGAUAACUUCAGGAAACUGGGGCUAAUACCGGAUAGGAGCUCCUGCUGCAUGGUGGGGGUUGGAAAGUUUCGGCGGUUGGGGAUGGACUCGCGGCUUAUCAGCUUGUUGGUGGGGUAGUGGCUUACCAAGGCUUUGACGGGUAGCCGGCCUGAGAGGGUGACCGGCCACAUUGGGACUGAGAUACGGCCCAGACUCCUACGGGAGGCAGCAGUGGGGAAUAUUGCACAAUGGGCGGAAGCCUGAUGCAGCAACGCCGCGUGCGGGAUGACGGCCUUCGGGUUGUAAACCGCCUUCGCCUGUGACGAAGCGUGAGUGACGGUAAUGGGUAAAGAAGCACCGGCUAACUACGUG
rnacentral:rRNA from 1 species